rnacentral:rRNA from 1 species
AGUGGGGAAUCUUGGACAAUGGGCGCAAGCCUGAUCCAGCCAUGCCGCGUGAGUGAUGAAGGCCCUAGGGUCGUAAAGCUCUUUCGCCUGUGAUGAUAAUGACAGUAGCAGGUAAAGAAACCCCGGCUAACUCCGUGCCAGCAGCCGCGGUAAUACGGAGGGGGUUAGCGUUGUUCGGAAUUACUGGGCGUAAAGCGCGCGUAGGCGGGUUGUUAAGUUAGAGGUGAAAUCCCGGGGCUCAACCCCGGAACUGCCUUUAAUACUGGCAACCUAGAGUUCGAGAGAGGUGAGUGGAAUUCCGAGUGUAGAGGUGAAAUUCGUAGAUAUUCGGAGGAACACCAGUGGCGAAGGCGGCUCACUGGCUCGAUACUGACGCUGAGGUGCGAAAGUGUGGGGAGCAAA